rnacentral:lncRNA from 1 species
GAAUAUGAUGAUAUUAAUAUGGUAAUAGAAUAAUAGUAUAAAAUAAUAAGUUUCAUGGCAUAGGAUAGGAAUAAGGAUGAGAGGAGAAUCCCAAUACGUCCUGUACCUUUAAGGACGAGUGGAAAGGGUGUUCAAGCCCUCUUCCUUCCCUCCAACCCUCGCUUGCCCUGACUCCAGGAGCCAAUCAGAAGCCUUGGGGGCGAAGGGAGCAUGGCCAGGACGGAGCCUUGUCUCCGAAGGAAGAAACGGCAGCGCAGCAGCAGCCACGGAAGGUUCUUCAAGCCACGUCUCUCCCUGCCUCCGUGAUAGUGGUGAAUACUUAAAACAUUUCAAGCACAGGGAAGCCGUUUGAGUUUUGAACCAAUGUCAGAUAUCGUCCUGACAAGAGAGAAGAUGGAGCACGUCAAGAGAUGCAAAGUCCUAAAUCAUGAUAUAAAGUCUUAUGUCUAUUAAUUCCACACUGACUAAAAAUUAAAUAUAGCAACCAUAUUAACCCAGAAUAAUAGAUAUGGAAAGUAAAAUGCAACCCUCAGUCACAAUAAAUUAACCUUGCUUUGGCAAUUGGUACGUAUGAAGUGUAUUAUGAAUAAAAAGUUGCUUUGGAACAGAUUGAUGUGUCUGCCUCUGUCAUGAUGAAAUGAAUCCUUCUGCUAGGUGACUGAUAGGAUUACAACAAUGCUCUGGAAAGGGAACUGAAUGGAUAUUAAUCUACUCAAAGGUCCAAGUCUCCAUUUAUUGUGAAAUGCAGUACAGGCUGUAAUCUAGCAUGGCUUAGUGAGGCGUGAACACACAAGUCUUCCAGGCUGAAUUUAAGUUCUCCUCUCUGUCACUGGCUAGUGCACCAACAAUCAAGUGCAGAAAAGCUUGUGACAGCCCCAUAUAAUGUGAAAACUCCUUUGGCAUCAGAAUAAUCUGACAGUUUGCUUGCGAUAGAGACUACUGAUUAUUAUCCCAUAGCAUAGAAAUUCCAUACAAUUCACUCCAUAACUGCACUAAAACUGAAAUUAGAAUAUGGUUUGUUCUAUAAGUUAAAAUGCAAUUUGGUGGAAGGUAUUUUUUUAUGUCAGGAGUGACUUGAUAAACUGUAAGCCACUUCUGGUGUGAGAGAAUUGGCCAUCU